GACGAACGCUGGCGGCGUGCUUAACACAUGCAAGUCGAACGGAAAGGCCCUGCUUUUGUGGGGUGCUCGAGUGGCGAACGGGUGAGUAACACGUGAGUAACCUGCCCUUGACUUUGGGAUAACUUCAGGAAACUGGGGCUAAUACCGGAUAGGAGCUCCUGCUGCAUGGUGGGGGUUGGAAAGUUUCGGCGGUUGGGGAUGGACUCGCGGCUUAUCAGCUUGUUAGUGGGGUAGUGGCUUACCAAGGCUUUGACGGGUAGCCGGCCUGAGAGGGUGACCGGCCACAUUGGGACUGAGAUACGGCCCAGACUCCUACGGGAGGCAGCAGUGGGGAAUAUUGCACAAUGGGCGGAAGCCUGAUGCAGCAACGCCGCGUGCGGGAUGACGGCCUUCGGGUUGUAAACCGCUUUCGCCUGUGACGAAGCGUGAGUGACAGUAAUGGGUAAAGAAGCACCGGCUAACUACGUG
rnacentral:rRNA from 1 species